AGACGACUCCCACUAACAAGGACAUCUUCAAAAGGUGGUAACUCAAGACAGCUCUGUCCAUCGUUAAGGAACUUCCCCAUCCAGGACAUUCCUUCUUCUCAUGGCUACCAUCAGGGAGGAGUGCUAAUGUUACCGUGACAACAAUUGGGAGGCCUUCUGGAAUAGCUGCAACCGCCAGGCUACCAAAGAGACAAGAAACCAUGUUACAUUCAGGGCUGAUACUAUUCCAGCUCAGAAUGUCUGCAACCUCUGUGACAACAGGACUUGGGGAUGGAGGAAACCUCCAAAAGAUGUGAAGAUACAACUCCCAAUGCCUACGGUGCGCUCGUAACAUCGUUAAAGACACAUUCCAUCUCGAGCACUAUCUGUUCAACCUCCUGCACUCUGGUAGGAGACACAGAAACAUCUUAGCCAAGACAGUAAGACUAAAAAACAGCUUCUUCUCAAGGGCUGUUGUGCAGCUGAAUAAUGCUACACCC